CCUACGGGAGGCUGCAGUGGGGGAUAUUGGACAAUGGGGGAAACCCUGAUCCAGCGACGCCGCGUGAGUGAAGAAGUAUUUCGGUAUGUAAAGCUCUAUCAGCAGGGAAGAAAGAAAUGACGGUACCUGAGUAAUAAGCCCCGGCUAACUACGUGCCAGCAGCCGCGGUAAUACGUAGGGGGCAAGCGUUAUCCGGAAUUACUGGGUGUAAAGGGAGCGUAGACGGUAAUGCAAGUCUGGAGUGAAAGGCGGGGGCCCACCCCCCGGACUGCUCUGGAAACUGUGUAACUGGAGUGCGGGAGAGGCAGGCGGAAUUCCUAGUGUAGCGGUGAAAUGCGUAGAUAUUAGGAGGAACACCAGUGGCGAAGGCGGCCUGCUGGACUGUAACUGACGUUGAGGCUCGAAAGCGUGGGGAGCAAACGGGAUUAGAUACCCUUGUAGUC
rnacentral:rRNA from 1 species